GCCUGGGUUGCUCAGUGGGUUGAGCAUUGGACUUCGGCUCAAGUCAUGAUCUUGAGGUUCGUGGGUUUGAGCCCCACGUCAGGCU
rnacentral:tRNA from 1 species